GUCCUGUUGGGUUCUUUUUUCUCCAUCAGUGAAAGAGAAGCAGCACUUCGGUCUUGAUGUGUACUGAACGGCAAGUCCACUAUGUCUCCCUCUAGAGGCUACAGAUGAUAGUAGAAUGACGUCAUUCUCUUGAACACAAGCAUCAGGCUUUGGAAUACACAGAAAUGGAUCACAUGCAGAUUUGUAAAUUGGCCAUGAUUUUAUAUUCAACACCCUGAACACUCAUCUGCUCAAAUGAAGCAUCAGUCAAAUGAGAAAAUAUAAAUAUGGAUCAUGCAAACCUCAUGGUAAUAUUAUUAGGCAUGAGUCUUAUCGUCAUGUGCUAUCUCAAAAACAGUACCAUCUGCUAUAGGCAGACUUGAAUGCCAAGCUGUUGAAUUUUUUUUAUUCAGAACACAAUCUCUGUAGAAAACACUGGUGUCCCAGUUCUAACAUUACAAUACUCUUGUUUAGAUUCUCUCAUUGAUUCUCUCACAUUUAAUUCAAUUAGUAUUCAAUUCAAGAAUACAAUCAUUUAUCAAAUUGAUUGACGAUUUGUAGAGCCAUUUUAACAAUGAACGUUGUCUCAAAGCAACUUCACUGAGAUAAACGUUAUACUGAAUUGUUAAAUUGUAAUAUAUUGUGAAUAUAAUGUAUAAUGUAUAAGUGUGUUCCUAAUGAGCGAGUCAGUGGCAUCUGUGACAAGGAAACACUCCUGAAGAUGGAAUAACAUUAAUGAAAUGUAUCAAUUAGGAUAUAGGCCUCGCUUUACCACAGAAACAUCACUGG